rnacentral:lncRNA from 1 species
ACCACAAAACACAAAUGCAUGCACGAAUCCAGAAUGGUGUUUACAAAAUCUCCUUAAAUCGCGUCGGAAGACCGGAAAAGGCUUGCUGUCACGCGAUUUGCUCCACUGCUGGUUUCUCCACUCCGAUCUUUUGGUUCCUGCCAAGACCAGGCCGGCGGAGCUUUUCUUCAGGUUCUGACUUCUGGCCAAACACGACACAGAUGCGAAACGGCUGAACGCGACUUCAC